rnacentral:piRNA from 1 species
UGCCAUCAGGGUAACAUGGUCUAGUCUCCUU